GGGUGGAUAGCAUAUGUAAUGUAUAUGAUUUCGGCUCAUAAGAUGAAAAAGUUUCUCCAUCUU
rnacentral:tRNA from 1 species